UUGGUGCCAAUGAUGGGUUUAAAUAUACUAUGAAUUUCUAAUAAUGAAAACAAUUUAAUCUGAGGCACCUU